rnacentral:rRNA from 1 species
UUUUGGACAAUGGGGGCAACCCUGAUCCAGCAAUGCCGCGUGAGUGAAGAAGGCCUUCGGGUUGUAAAGCUCUUUUGUCAGGGAAGAAACAGCAGCUCUAACACAGCUGUGAAUGACGGUACCUGAAGAAUAAGCACCGGCUAACUACGUGCCAGCAGCCGCGGUAAUACGUAGGGUGCAAGCGUUAAUCGGAAUUACUGGGCGUAAAGCGUGCGCAGGCGGUUAUACAAGACAGGCGUGAAAUCCCCGGGCUUAACCUGGGAAUUGCGUCUGUGACUGUAUAGCUAGAGUGUGUCAGAGGGGGGUAGAAUUCCACGUGUAGCAGUGAAAUGCGUAGAUAUGUGGAGGAAUACCAAUGGCGAAGGCAGCCCCCUGGGACAACACUGACGCUCAUGCACGAA